AUUGAACGCUAGCGGGAUGCCUUACACAUGCAAGUCGAACGGAGUGGCGAACGGGUGAGUAAUGCAUCGGAACGUGCCCAGUAGCGGGGGAUAACUACGCGAAAGCGGAGCUAAUACCGCAUACUAUUGGAGCGGCCGAUAUCGGAUUAGCUAGUUGGUGGGGUAACGGCUCACCAAGGCGACGCUCCGUAGCUGGUUUGAGAGGAAGACCAGCCACACUGGAACUGAGACACGGCCCAGACUCCUACGGGAGGCAGCAGUGGGGAAUUUUGGACAAUGGGGGAAAGCCUGAGCCAGCCAGCCCGAGUGUGAGAUGAAGGCCUUAGGGUUGUAAAGCACUUUUGGCAGGAAAGCGGUACCUGCAGAAUAAGCACCGGCUAACUACGUGCCAGCAGCCGCGGUAAUUC
rnacentral:rRNA from 1 species